GGAAACAGAUGCUAAUACCGGAUAACAACAGAUGAUGCCUAUCAACUGUUUAAAAGAUGGUUCUGCUAUCACUCUUGGAUGGACCUGNGGUGCAUUAGCUAGUUGGUAGGGUAACGGCCUACCAAGGCGAUGAUGCAUAGCCGAGUUGAGAGACUGAUCGGCCACAUUGGGACUGAGACACGGCCCAAACUCCUACGGGAGGCAGCAGC
rnacentral:rRNA from 1 species